CCCUUAGAUGUUCUGGGCCGCACGCGCGCUACACUGACGGGAGCAACGAGUAGGACCUGCACCGGAAGGUGUGGGUAAUCUUUUGAAAUCCCGUCGUGCUGGGGAUAGAUCUUUGUAAUUUUCGAUCUUGAACGAGGAAUUCCUAGUAAGCGCAAGUCAUCAGCUUGCGUUGAUUACGUCCCUGCCCUUUGUACACACCGCCCGUCGCUACUACCGAUUGAAUGGUCCGGUGAAGCGUUCGGACCGUGGCCUUUGGACGGUUCGCCGUCUGUUGGCUGCGGGAAGUUCGUUAAACCUUAUCAUUUAGAGGAAGGAGAANUCGUANCA
rnacentral:rRNA from 1 species